GACGGGGGGGGGCAAGUGUUCUUCGGAAUGACUGGGCGUAAAGGGCACGUAGGCGGUGAAUCGGGUUGAAAGUGAAAGUCGCCAAAAAGUGGCGGAAUGCUCUCGAAACCAAUUCACUUGAGUGAGACAGAGGAGAGUGGAAUUUCGUGUGUAGGGGUGAAAUCCGUAAAUAUACGAAGGAACGCCAAAAGCGAAGGCAGCUCUCUGGGUCCCUACCGA
rnacentral:rRNA from 1 species